rnacentral:rRNA from 1 species
GAUGAACGCUGGCGGCGUGCUUAACACAUGCAAGUCGAACGGAAAGGCCCAAGCUUGCUUGGGUACUCGAGUGGCGAACGGGUGAGUAACACAUGGGUGAUCUGCCCUGCACUUCGGGAUAAGCCUGGGAAACUGGGUCUAAUACCGGAUAGGACCACUUCUUGGAUGUUGUGGUGGAAAGUUUUUUCGGUGUUGGAUGAGCUCGCGGCCUAUCAGCUUUUUGGUGGGGUAAUGGCCUACCAAGGCGUCGACGGGUAGCCGGCCUGAGAGUGUGUACGGCGACACUGAGACUGAGAUACGGCCCAGAUGCCUACGGGAGGCAGCAGUGGGGAAUAUUGCACAAUGGGCGCCAGCCUGAUGCAGCGACGCCGCGUGGGGGAUGACGGCCUUCGGGUUGUAAACUCCUUUCGCUAGGGACGACGCGUUUUGUGACGGUACCUGGAGAAGAAGCACCGGCUAACUACGUG